CUAUGGUGGUACAUAUGGUCAAGACUGUGGACUUAGUUGUGGAGCUUGUCUCGGAUAUAAGCAAUGUCACCACAUCAAUGGUUCUUGUCCUGAGGGUUGUGAUGCUGGAUAUGAGGGAUAUUUUUGUAAUAUAGAUUGUCCACUAGGACGAUUUGGAAUAAACUGUGAAAGAUUCUGUAGUGAACAUUGUGGAGUAUCUAAUAUAUGCAACGGAAUAACAGGACAAUGCGAAAGAGGAUGUAAACCGGGCUGGAGGGGCUUUCAAUGUAAUGAAGAAUGUGAUGGUAAAAGGUAUGGACAAGACUGUGGAGAGAAAUGUGGAACCUGUCUGGGAUAUAAACAAUGUAAUCACAUCAAUGGUUCAUGUACUGAAGGCUGCGAUGCUGGAUUUAUGGGAGAGCUCUGUA